rnacentral:rRNA from 1 species
GCUGGCGGCAGGCUUAACACAUGCAAGUCGAGCGCCCCGCAAGGGGAGCGGCAGACGGGAUAGUAACACGUGGGAACGUACCUUUCAGUUCGGAACAACCCAGGGAAACUUGGGCUAAUACCGGAUACGCCCGUAAGGGGAAAGAUUUAUCGCUGAAAGAUCGGCCCGCGUCUGAUAGCUAGUUGGUGGGGUAAAGGCCCACCAAGGCGACGAUCAGUAGCUGGUCUGAGAGGAUGAUCAGCAUCACUGGGACUGAGACACGGCCCAGACUCCUACGGGAGGCAGCAGUGGGGAAUAUUGGACAAUGGGCGCAAGCCUGAUCCAGCCAUGCCGCGUGGAUGAUGAAGGCCCUAGGGUUGUAAAGUCCUUUCGGCGGGGAAGAUAAUGACGGUACCCGCAGAAGAAGCCCCGGCUAACUUCGUGCCAGCAGCCGCGGUAAUACGAAGGGGGCUAGCGUUGCUCGGAAUCACUGGGCGUAAAGCGCACGUAGGCGGACUCUUAAGUCGGGGGUGAAAUCCUGGAGCUCAACUCCAGAACUGCCUUCGAUACUGAGAGUCUUGAGUCCGGGAGAGGUGAGUGGAACUGCGAGUGUAGAGGUGAAAUUCGUAGAUAUUCGCAAGAACACCAGUGGCGAAGGCGGCUCACUGGCCCGGUACUGACGCUGAUGUGCCAAAGCGUGGGGAGC